UUGGCCAACGGGAGGCCCCAGUCGGAGAGCGCCCCGGGACAGGCCCCUGUGCCUCUGGCUUUGCGGAGUGACCCAGGCCCUGAGCUACAGCAACCCUACCAGCCCUUCCAGCUUAGAUGUGGCAGUGGCUCUUUGCAGCUGCGAUUUCUUUCUCGGAGCGUCCUCCCCAUCCCGUUUGGCCUCUGUCUCCACCGUCGUCUCUGUAACCCGUUCCCUGUGGGAGAGUCCCUGUUGCAGCGUUCAGGGGUUUCGGUUUUCUGGCUGAACUUAAUGCGAGGGAAGGCGCUGACGGCAAGGUGGCAGGUGACCAGCCCAGCAGGCCGCCCAGGCCUCCCCUACCUACAGACAGAAGCGCCGAGGCCUGUGGAGGGGAGAGGCAAGUGGGUGUGGGGGAUCGCGGGCAGCCCUGGAGUCAAGACAGACCUUGUUUUGUCCCAGGAAGAAAAUUCCAACACAGACCACAACACCGAUGGACCUGGAAAACACUGUGCUCAGUGAAAGAAGUCAGACACACAAGGACAAUGUUGUAUGAGGGACACAUUCCAGCAAAAAGACACAAAGUGACAGAAUGGCUGCCUUUGAGUGGGGGUGAGAAGAGGUGGAUGGCAGAUACCAGAAGAGAAGGGAAUAAAUAUAUGAAGAAAAACGACCCCCUCGGGCAGUGCCUGGCACAGCAUAAGUGCCCAGGAAACAGAGGCCCAGCUGCUCACGUUCUGGGCAGCAGGGCUGGGACCAGCACCGGCUUCCUGGUUAAAGAGGCCACCCUUUCCUCUUGAGGGGUCUGAGUAUGCAUGUCAGCACCUGGUGGGCACGCAGCACCCAGCUGACCAGGGGCCUUCCCCUCUGUGGGUGUCACCAGCCUGGCCCUGAGAACUGGAUGAAAGCUGGAAUAAUUCUUCCUGUAAUAAAGCAAACUCGACCACGUUCAA